rnacentral:rRNA from 1 species
CCUACGGGAGGCAGCAGUGGGGAAUAUUGCACAAUGGAGGGAACUCUGAUCCAGCGACGCCGCGUGAGUGCAGAAGUAUUUCGGUAUGUAAAGCUCUGUCAGCAGGGAAGAAAGCAAUGACGGUACCUGACCAAGAAGCACCGGCUAACUACGUGCCAGCAGCCGCGGUAAUACGUAGGGGGCAAGCGUUAUCCGGAAUUACUGGGUGUAAAGGGAGCGUAGAAGGCUGUGCAAGUCUGGAGUGAAAGGCGGGGGCCCAACCCCCGGACUGCUCUGGAAACUGUAUGGCUGGAGUGCAGGAGAGGGAAGCGGAAUUCCCAGUGUAGCGGUGAAAUGCGUAGAUAUUAGGAGGAAAACCAGUGGCGAAGGCGGCUUACUGGACUGUAACUGACGUUGAGGCUCGAAAGCGUGGGGAGCAAACAGGAUUAGAUACCCCGGUAGUC